UACGGGGGGGCAAGCGUUGUUCGGAAUCACUGGGCGUAAAGCGCACGUAGGCGGAUUGCUAAGUCAGGGGUGAAAUCCUGGAGCUCAACUCCAGAACUGCCUUUGAUACUGGCGACCUUGAGUCCGGGAGAGGUGAGUGGAACUGCGAGUGUAGAGGUGAAAUUCGUAGAUAUUCGCAAGAACACCAGUGGCGAAGGCGGCUCACUGGCCCGGUACUGACGCUGAGGGUGCGAAAGCGUGGGGAGCAACAG
rnacentral:rRNA from 1 species